UCCUCAGUGGAGGUCAGCCAGGGAGUUACAGGGCUGCUAGUUAAUCGUUCCCUUUCCUUAACCUUCUUUUCCUCUUGAGGGCCGAGUCUGGGGACUCUCAGUAAACACCUUGACAGGAAAGCUGGGUAGCACCCCAUGCUGGCCCCUCCACUUUUUAGGCCUGUUGCCUCAGAAGAAAACCUCACACAGGCCACGACUUGUGUUUUUCCCGCUUCACCGCAGUGGAAGAAGGAACGCCACUGGGAGACAAUCCGCGGUACCAAAGAAACCUGCCUCUUUUCUGAUACGGCUCUCUCCCAGUCCACAGCCUGAAGCGAUCUCCGGGACCUCAUUUCUGCCUAGCAACAUCACAACCAAUCAAAAUGCAAUUAGGCCUGGCAGUUUGGCUCAUCCUUCACUGGGAUUGGCUGCUGGCGGUGAGCGCAUCCUAAGUUUUCAUUGGCUGACGGCCACCUGUAUGGAAAUGAGAAUGACAGGGGACUCUCAGCGCCUUCUCUGCGACGUGGACCUGUGGCUUACUGCACUGAAACCUGCAAGCUCAGAGCCAGAACUCCUGGGCUUUUUUUCUGCCUUCUCUCCCUGUUCUUCCGCCAAAGAGAUAUCUCAAACUUUUCCCUCAGCUCCUCUGUCUGAGGCCCAGUCGGAAAGAAAUUCGCAAAAAAUAAGGCGAAUUUGUAUGCUUUUUUGCAUUUUCUUUUCCUUCUCUCGGUUCUGUAUCAAGAUUUUCCCCCUUCCGUCUAAUGCUAUGACAGUUCUUGAUCCUUUCUCUCUUCCAUGUCCAUCCAAGGAGAGGCUUCUCUCCGUGUGGAGUCCCUCGGGCCCUGCCCCCUGUUGCCUCAAACCCUCCCUUCGGGCUCAGCUCCACCAAAUUCCCAAUUGCCCCCUUCCUCCCUCUCAGGAUCCAGGCGCCUCGCACAACGAUCUAAAGCCCAGUUUAGAAGGGAGUUAGAGGGGGAGAGGACUCCCCCACCUCCCCCCAAAAAAACCUCCAUCCUCGCUCCCCAUCCAUUUUCUCUGAGGGAGCCGAGUUUGACAGCGAAUUCAUUCCGAGAGGGGAGGGUGAUUUAUUCUUCAAAUAUACCGACAAGUGCGGGCAUGAUGGAGCCCAUUAAAAUGUUGGGAGAUUGUUUUUAUGAUUGAAGUCUGUAUUACUCCAACCAUAAAGAAAGAGAGCAAGGAGUCAUUAGCAUUUUCAUGAUGGUGUAUUUCUGCUUGUCUCCGCGCCAUCACUCAUC